rnacentral:rRNA from 1 species
GAUGAACGCUGGCGGCGUGCCUAAUACAUGCAAGUCGAGCGAACAGACGAGGAGCUUGCUCCUCUGACGUUAGCGGCGGACGGGUGAGUAACACGUGGAUAACCUACCUAUAAGACUGGGAUAACUUCGGGAAACCGGAGCUAAUACCGGAUAAUAUAUUGAACCGCAUGGUUCAAUAGUGAAAGACGGUUUUGCUGUCACUUAUAGAUGGAUCCGCGCCGCAUUAGCUAGUUGGUAAGGUAACGGCUUACCAAGGCGACGAUGCGUAGCCGACCUGAGAGGGUGAUCGGCCACACUGGAACUGAGACACGGUCCAGACUCCUACGGGAGGCAGCAGUAGGGAAUCUUCCGCAAUGGGCGAAAGCCUGACGGAGCAACGCCGCGUGAGUGAUGAAGGUCUUCGGAUCGUAAAACUCUGUAAUUAGGGAAGAACAAAUGUGUAAGUAACUAUGCACGUCUUGACGGUACCUAAUCAGAAAGCCACGGCUAACUACGU